AAUAAUUCAGAGUUAGAAAGCACCAUGUAGAAAAGGUCCCUGGAAGAGAACACUUACAAGAUUUCUCUGGCUCCUAACUGCCUGCAACAUUAUUUUAUGGACACAAAUACACAUCCAUCUUUCGAAUGCAAAAGACAGUCAAAGACGGGACAGAGCAAAAGAAAAUAUAAGAUAAGACAGAACUGGGUGGUUUUUGUUUUUUAAUGAAGAGAUCCAGGGAAUACUUUUGUUUUAAUGCCUAGCAUCUAAUGGUACCAUCUAGGAUGGCAAUAGGAACUACAGGUAUUGCUCCCCACUUCAUAGAGGUCUUUCAAUUACUGCGCAAAAGGAAAGGUGCCAAAUACUCAGAACGUGGAACAGAAUGGAAGAUGACAGUCAAGUCAAAUCCUAUAUUAUCCUGAAGACUUGUAAGGGGAUAAAGGGAAGACUUGGCCAUAACCUGCCACAACUGAAAACUAAUGGGAAUUUUCUUGAUCUACUCUCAAGACAUCUUUCAACUCUCAUCAAGAUGCCUUUCCUUCGCACCUGGACAACUGCUUCCUAUAUUGAGGCCACUCUUUCCUUUCAAUACUAGUCAAAUUCUGGGUCCCAAUUAGCACCCAAGGAUUUUACACUGAGCCCUUGAGGGGCCUCGGUUAAAGAUUUUGAGCAUCUGUGAAUCUAUACCAGUGCUUGGGGUUGGAAAUCCAAGGAACCCUGACAAAAAGCUGUCACCGGGCCCCAGUAGUUUUUCAGUUCCUACUAACUUCAGUUUUUGUUUUUGUAUUAAAAGGAAUUGAAAGAUCCUUCCUCCAUGUAACAGAUUCUGGAGAGGGCCAGUUGUCACUCCAACUUGCCUUGGGUUUAGAAAAGAUCAAUGA
rnacentral:lncRNA from 1 species